CCUACGUGAGGCAGCAGUGGGGAAUAUUGGGCAAUGGGCGCAAGCCUGACCCAGCAACGCCGCGUGAAGGAAGAAUGCUUUCGGGUUGUAAACUUCUUUUCUCAGGGACGAAGAAAGUGACGGUACCUGAGGAAUAAGCCGCGGCUUACUACGUGCCAGCAGCCGCGGUACGACGUAGGUGGCAAGCGUUAUCCGGAUUUAUUGGGUGUAAAGGGCGUGUAGGCGGGAGCGCCAGUCAGAUGUGAAAACUCAGGGCUCAAACCUGAGCCUGCAGUUGAAACUGUGUUUCUUGAGUGCUGGAGAGGCAAUCGGAAUUCAGGGUGUAGCGGUGAAAUGCGGAGAUAUACGGAGGAACACCAGUGGCGAAGGCGGAUUGCUGGACAGUAACUGACGCUGAGGCGCGAAAGCGUGGGGAGCAAACAGGAUUAGAUACCCUUGUAGUC
rnacentral:rRNA from 1 species